UACGGAGGGUGCGAGCGUUGUCCGGAAUCACUGGGCUUAAAGGGUGCGUAGGCUGCGCGGAAAGUUGGGUGUGAAAUCCCUCGGCUCAACCGAGGAACUGCGCCCAAAACUGCCGUGCUCGAGGGAGACAGAGGUGAGCGGAACUUAGGGUGGAGCGGUGAAAUGCGUUGAUAUCCUAAGGAACACCGGUGGCGAAAGCGGCUCACUGGGUCUCUUCUGACGCUGAGGCACGAAAGCUAGGGUAGCGAACGGG
rnacentral:rRNA from 1 species